CUGAGCGAGGAGGAGUGGUAACCCCUUCAAAGCCUUACUUCCUUUUUAGGGUCUGGUUGCUCCGCGUUGGUCACAGGUGAUUAUCACGAAGACACCCAGCCCACGCGCCGAAGGUUCCACACCCAGCGCAUGCGUUCCAUUCGCCGUUGGAGCUCACGACCCUGAGAUCACGUCCUGAGGUGAAAUCAAGUCAGACCCUUCACGGACAGAGCCACCAGGCGCCCCAAUCCAUUCACCUGUUGGACAGCUGGGUUUUCCCACCUUCUGCCGGUUGUGCAUAAGGCCGCCACGAACACGCGCGUGCAGAUGAGGAACGCUAUCUCGGUGCUGGCGACGUCAUGUCACCAGGUCCUGAAGCAAACAAGCGCACCGCCCGUGGCCGAACCCCCACAGUGAGGACUUCAGCUCCUGUGCUGUUUUUGACCUGGCCUCAAGUCCUGGGAUGUCCUCUUUGGGGUCUAGGUCUCUGCACCGACUCUUCAAUUUAUUUCAAAGAGAGCACAAAUUGGGGGAACAGGCAGAGGGAGAGGGAGAAGCAGACUCCCCACUGAGAAGGAAGCCCGACACGGGGCUCAAUCCCUGGACCCCAAGAUCACGACCUGAGCAGAAGGCAGAUGCCUCACCGACUAAGCCCCCAACGUGCUCCUUUAACUUGCAUUCCCAGUGACUGGAACAUCUCAUGUGCUUGUUGGUUAGCUGUAUAUCUUCCUCGGUAAAGACCCUUUUGAAAUCUUUUUCCCUUUUAAAAAUUGGGUCAUGGGGCACCUGGCUGGCUCAGUCAGUGA